rnacentral:rRNA from 1 species
AUGGCGUGCAUCAAGAGCGCGCAGCGCGCGGCGCUGACGGCGCUCGCGCCGGAGGCGCCCUACCUCGCCGCCGGCACCAUGAGCGGCGCCGUCGACAUGCAAUUCUCCGCGUCGGCCAACAUCGAGAUCUUCAGCCUCGACUUCCAGUCCGACUCCCCCGACCUGCCCCUCCUCGCCGCGGCCCCCUCCCCCGACCGCUUCAACCGCCUCUGCUGGUCCCGCCCGGGCGCCGCCGACGGCGACUCCUUCUCCCUCGGCCUCCUCGCCGGCGGCCUCAGCGACGGCUCCGUCGCCGUCUGGAACCCGCUCAGCAUGAUCAGCUCCGAGGGGCAAGCGGAGGACGUCAUGGUCGCGCAGCUCGAGAAGCACAACGGGGCGGUCACUGGAUUGGAGUUUAGCGAGCUCACACCCAAUCGGCUCGCUUCAGGGGGUAACGAGGGGGACAUUUGCAUCUGGGAUCUCAAAAACCCCUGCGAGCCAAACGUCUUCCCGCCACUGAAGAAUGUUGGUUCGAAUGCUCAAGCUGAAAUAUCUUGCUUAACCUGGAAUCCCAAGUUUCAGCAUAUACUAGCAUCAGCUUCUAGUAACGGGAUUACAGUAGUUUGGGAUUUGAGAACCCAGAAACCAUUAACUAGCUUUUCAGAUUCAAAUAGAAGGAACUGUUCUGUUCUCCAGUGGAAUCCAGACAUGUCCACCCAGCUAAUUCUUGCAUCAGAUGACGACAACUCUCCUUCUUUGAGAGUAUGGGAUGUGAGGAAAACCAUUGCACCUGUACGGGAAUUUGUGGGACACUCAAAAGGUGUAAUUGGUAUGUCAUGGUGCCCCUAUGACAGUUCAUUCUUGCUUACUUGUGCUAAAGACAAUAGAACAAUAUGCUGGGAUACAGUUAGUGGAGAGAUUAUCAGUGAGCUACCAACAAGCUCUAAUGGUAACUUUGACAUUCACUGGUACCGGAAAAUUCCAGGUGUUGUAGCAGCAUCUUCAUAUGAUGGGAAGAUCGGUGUACACAACUUGGAGUUCUCCAGCCUGUAUGCAGCUGGUGACAGCACUGUUGGUGCCUCAGCGCGUCCAAGAGCUGCAGCUCCAAAAUGGUUGAAAUGCCCCACGGGUGCAUCUUUUGGCUUUGGUGGCAAACUUGUUUCCUUCCAUCCAGCCCAAGGCACACAAGCGGGUACUUCUGAGGUGCAUGUGCAUAAUUUGGUGAUUGAGCAGAGUCUAGUAAGCCGGUCAACUGAAUUUGAAGCUGCUAUGCAGAAUAGGGACAAAAGUGCACUGCGUGCUUUGUGUGACCAAAAAUCACAAGAAUCUUUAUCCGAGGAGGAGAAAGAAACAUGGAGCUUCUUAAGGGUUAUGUUCGAGGAUGGGGAUACUGCCAGAACAAAAUUGCUUGUUCAUCUUGGAUUCAAUCCACCUCAAGAACCGACUGUGAAUGCAACUGAUGAGCUGAGCAAAGCAUUGGCUGAUACACUUAAUAUUGAUCAUGGUACUGAUAAUAUGGAUGCCCAAUUUCUUGCUGAUAACGGUGAUGAUUUUUUCAAUAAUCCUCAACCUUCAGAGACUAGCUUGGCUGAGGAGCCAAUGUCUACAAAUGUCCAAGAGAUUGAGCAGGAAAUGCCUGAAAAUAUUGUGCCAUCUGAUCCAUCAAUUGACAAAAGUAUUCAACAUGCAUUGGUAGUUGGAGACUACAAAGGUGCUGUUAAUCAGUGCCUUGCAGCAAAUCGUAUGGCUGAUGCUCUGGUUAUUGCCCAUGCUGGUGGUUCUGCUCUAUGGGAGAGCACCAGAAACCAAUAUCUUAAGAACAGUAUCUCACCCUAUUUAAAGGUUGUUUCUGCUAUGGUUGGCAAUGACUUGAUGAGUUUUGUGAGUACAUGGCCACUAAAUGCAUGGAAGGAAACACUUGCACUACUGUGCACAUUUGCCGGGAAAGAGGAAUGGAAUGUUUUAUGUGACACUCUUGCAUCUAGACUUCUGAGUGCUGGUGAUAUGCUAGCUGCGACCCUAUGUUACAUUUGUGCUGGAAAUAUUGAUAAAGCUGUUGAAAUAUGGUCUCGCAACCUGAGCUCUGAAGAUGGUGGAAAGACUUAUGUUGAUCUUCUCCAGGAUUUGAUGGAGAAGACCAUUACUCUCGCCCUUGCCACGGGCCAUAAGAGGUUUAGCGCGUCUCUAUCUAAGCUUGUUGAGAACUAUGCAGAGCUGUUGGCCAGUCAAGGCCUUCUUAAAACUGCAAUGGAGUACUUGAAGCUUAUGGGAGCAGAUGAAAAUUCAGAUGAGCUGACUAUACUGAGAGAUCGAAUUGCAUUUUCUACAGAAGAGAAUGAUGCUACCAGGAGUUCUGUUCCAGAGAGUAGUGCCAACAGCUCCUCCUACCUACCAAAUCAACAGAGCUACACCCCAGACCCUUCCCAGAAUCUUUACCAGGUGCCUCAACAAUAUAAUAAUGUGCAAAGCUAUCCAGAAGUUUACCCGCAACCACCUAAUAGUAGAGCCAAUGUGCCAAGCAAUACAUAUCCAGAAGUUUACCCGCAAUCACACAAUGCAGCCUACUCGGGAUAUGCUGGAUAUCAACCUCAACAUCAAACACAAAUGUUUGUUCCUCAAAACACACCAGUGGACACCCAGCCAAGCCCGGCUCCAUUCCCGGUUCCACAUCAAACAGUGAAGACAUUUACUCCUGCAAACGUACCGAGUCUCAAAAACCCAGAGCAAUAUCACCAAGCAAGUACCUUGGGUUCCCAGCUCUACACGCCUCCUGCGAAUUCAUCAUAUGCUCCUGGACCACCUGCCCAGUUCCAAAGUGGACCUCCCACCACGUUUCAUCAGCCUGCACCGCCGGCUCAAUACCAGACUGUUCCACCCGUCCCUUCAGUUCCAGGAACAAACCCUAACCAGAUGUUUACCCCUGCUGUUCCGACUAAUUCAGCUUCUAGGUUUAUACCGUCAACCAAUCAAGGUUUUGUUCAGCGGCCAGGCUUGAGUCCUGCACAGCCCUCAAGUCCAACACAGGCGCAACCACCAGCUCAGCCUACCGUUGCUCCUCCUGCACCUCCCCCCACUGUGCAAACAGCUGAUACAUCGAAUGUGUCUGCUGAGCUGAGACCUGUUAUUGCAACACUGACCAGACUAUUUGAUGAGACUUCCAAAGCCUUGGGAGGUGCACCAGCUAAAAAACGUGAAAUUGAAGACAACUCAAAGAAGAUUGGGGCAUUAUUUGCCAAACUCAACACUGGAGAUAUAUCUCCAAAUGUUUCAUCAAAACUCAUUCAGAUGUGCAGUGCACUUGAUAGUAGUGAUUUUGCCACUGCAAUGCAACUUCAGAUUCUUCUGACGACCAGUGAUUGGGAUGAGUGCAACUUUUGGCUCUCAUCAUUGAAGCGUAUGAUCAAGACAAGGCAAAGCUUCAGAGUGUAA